rnacentral:rRNA from 1 species
AGCUCCAAUAGCGUAUAUUAAAGUUGCUGCAGUUAAAAAGCUCGUAGUUGCAUUUCCGAGGCAAGGGAUUAGUCCGACCUUUGGUGGGUAUUUAAUCCUCUUGCCUCGUCCUUGAGUGGUGCUUCUUGGUAUUAAGUUAUCGAGGAGAUAGCCGCUCAUCGUUCUGUGAGAAAAUUAGAGUGUUCAAAGCAGGCUUAUGCCGUUGAAUAUAUUAGCAUGGAAUAAUAAGAUAGGACCUCGGUACUAUUUUGUUGGUUUGAGAACCAAGGUAAUGAUGAAUAGGGACAGUUGGGGGUAUUCGUAUUCAGUUGUCAGAGGUGAAAUUCUUAGAUUUACGGAAGACGAACUACUGCGAAAGCAUUUACCAAGGAUGUUUUCA